rnacentral:rRNA from 1 species
ACGCACGCUGGCGGCGUGCUUAACCCAUGCAAGUCGCACGGUGAAGCUCCAGCUUGCUGGAGUGGAUCAGUGGCGAACGGGUGAGUAACACGUGAGCAACCUGCCCCAGACUCUGGAAUAAGCGCUGGAAACGGCGUCUAAUACUGGAUACGAGAUCAAGCCGCAUGGUUAUGGUCUGGAAAGUUUUUCGGUUUGGGAUGGGCUCGCGGCCUAUCAGCUUGUUGGUGAGGUAAUGGCUCACCAAGGCGACGACGGGUAGCCGGCCUGAGAGGGCGACCGGCCACACUGGGACUGAGACACGGCCCAGACUCCUACGGGAGGCAGCAGUGGGGAAUAUUGCACAAUGGGCGAAAGCCUGAUGCAGCGACGCCGCGUGAGGGAUGACGGCCUUCGGGUUGUAAACCUCUUUCAGCAGGGAAGAAGCGAAAGUGACGGUACCUGCAGAAGAAGCACCGGCUAACUACGUG